AGACGAGGAGCUUGCUCCUCUGACGUUAGCGGCGGACGGGUGAGUAACACGUGGAUAACCUACCUAUAAGACUGGGAUAACUUCGGGAAACCGGAGCUAAUACCGGAUAAUAUAUUGAACCGCAUGGUUCAAUAGUGAAAGACGGUUUUGCUGUCACUUAUAGAUGGAUCCGCGCCGCAUUAGCUAGUUGGUAAGGUAACGGCUUACCAAGGCAACGAUGCGUAGCCGACCUGAGAGGGUGAUCGGCCACACUGGAACUGAGACACGGUCCAGACUCCUACGGGAGGCAGCAGUAGGGAAUCUUCCGCAAUGGGCGAAAGCCUGACGGAGCAACGCCGCGUGAGUGAUGAAGGUCUUCGGAUCGUAAAACUCUGUUAUUAGGGAAGAACAAAUGUGUAAGUAACUAUGCACGUCUUGACGGUACCUAAUCAGAAAGCCACGGCUAACUACGUGCCAGCAGCCGCGGUAAUACGUAGGUGGCAAGCGUUAUCCGGAAUUAUUGGGCGUAAAGCGCGCGUAGGCGGUUUUUUAAGUCUGAUGUGAAAGCCCACGGCUCAACCGUGGAGGGUCAUUGGAAACUGGAAAACUUGAGUGCAGAAGAGGAAAGUGGAAUUCCAUGUGUAGCGGUGAAAUGCGCAGAGGUAUGGAGGAACACCAGUGGCGAAGGCGGCUUUCUGGUCUGUAACUGACGCUGAUGUGCGAAAGCGUGGGGAUCA
rnacentral:rRNA from 1 species